CGGGGGGCUGCAGUCAAGAAUCUUCCGCAAUGGACGAAAGUCUGACGGAGCGACGUCGCGUGAUCGAUGAAGUCCUUCGGGAUGUAAAGAUCUUUUUUAGGUGAAGAAGUUUAUUGACAUUAACCUACGAAUAAGGGGUUGCUAAACUCGUGCCAGCAGCAGCGGUAAUACGAGUACCCCGAGCGUUAUUCGGAAUCAUUGGGCGUAAAGGGUCUGUAGGUGGUUAUAUUAGUCUUUUGUUAAAGACCAGGGCUCAACCCUGGAUCCGCAAAAGAAACGGUAUAACUUGAGGAUGUGAGAGGUGUACGGAACUCACGGUGUAGGGGUGAAAUCCGUUGAUAUCGUGGGGAACACCAAAAGCGAAGGCAGUACACUGGCACAUUCCUGACACUGAAAGACGAAAGCGUGGGUAGCGAAUGGGAUUAGAUACCCCGGUAGUC
rnacentral:rRNA from 1 species